rnacentral:tRNA from 1 species
UUUUAAGUAUCAUAAUUAAUGAAUUCAAUUUCGACUUGAAAUAUAGAUUAAUAAUCUCUUUAAUU